CUGAGUUUACGCUCUACAACCCUUUGUGAACAUACCUAUAACUGUUGCUUCGGCGGGUAGGGUCUCCGCGACCCUCCCGGCCUCCCGCCUCCGGGCGGGUCGGCGCCCGCCGGAGGAUAACCAAACUCUGAUUUAACGACGUUUCUUCUGAGUGGUACAAGCAAAUAAUCAAAACUUUUAACAACGGAUCUCUUGGUUCUGGCAUCGAUGAAGAACGCAGCGAAAUGCGAUAAGUAAUGUGAAUUGCAGAAUUCAGUGAAUCAUCGAAUCUUUGAACGCACAUUGCGCCCGCCAGCAUUCUGGCGGGCAUGCCUGUUCGAGCGUCAUUUCAACCCUCAAGCUCUGCUUGGUGUUGGGGCCCUACAGCUGAUGUAGGCCCUCAAAGGUAGUGGCGGACCCUCUCGGAGCCUCCUUUGCGUAGUAACUUUACGUCUCGCACUGGGAUCCGGAGGGACUCUUGCCGUAAAACCCCCAAUUUUCCAAAGGUUGACCUCGGAUCAGGUAGGAAUACCCGCUGAACUUAAGCAUAUCAAU
rnacentral:rRNA from 1 species